UUUCGAACUCGGCGACGAAUUCCUUUUUGAGAAGAAGUGGCUUGAAGGCUUCCCAAGAAAAACCUCGGUUCGUACUUUCAUGAGCGACCGUACUAAAACUGACACAGGUAGGUGGGGUGAGUAUCCUAAGGCGCUCGGGGGAACUGUGGUAAAGGAACUCGGCAAAAUGGCCCCGUAACUUCGGGAUAAGGGGCGCCCCUUGGAGAAGGCUUCGCAAGAAGAACCGGGGGCUGCAGGAAUCGGUUGUUACGACUGUUUACUAAAAACACAGGUCUCUGCCAAGUCCACAAAGACGACGUAUAGAGACUGACGCUUGCUCGGUGCCGGAAGGUCAAGGUGAGGGGUCAGCCCGCAAGGGCGAAGCUCCGAGCCGAAGCCCCGGUUAACGGCGGCCGUAACUAUGACGGUCCUAAGGUAGCGAAGUUCCUUGUCGGGUAAGUUCCGACGCGCAUGAUAGCGUAACGUAGCAACGCUGUCUCUACCGCAGACCCGGCGAAAUUGUAGUAGCGGUGAUGAUGCCGCUUACCCGCAGUUAGACGGAAAGACCCCGUGAACCUUCACUGUAGCCUAUUAUUGAGUUUGGGUGUGGCAUGUGUAGGAUAGGUGGGAGGCAUUGAAGCUGGGACGCCAGUCUCAGCAGAGCCGCCGGUGAAAUACCACCCUUGUUGCAUCUAAAUUCUAACUCGAUUCCUUGAACCAGGGUCCAGGACAGUGAUAGGUGGGCAGUUUGGCUGGGGCGGCUUCCUCCUAAAGAGUAACGGAGGAGCCCAAAGGCACCUUCAGCGCGGUUGGCAAUCGCGCGGAGAGCGUAAGGGUAUAAGGGUGCCUGACUGUGAGACCAAUAAGUCGAGCAGAGGUGAAAGCCGGGCCUAAUGAUCCGGCGUUACCGGGUGGAAGGGACGUCGCUCAUCAGAUAAAAGGUACUCCGGGGAUAACAGGCUGAUCUCUCCCAAGAGUCCAUAUCGACGGGGAGGUUUGGCACCUCGAUGUCGGCUCAUCACAUCCUGGGGCUGUAGGAGGUCCCAAGGGUUCGGCUGUUCGCCGAUUAAAGUGGUACGCGAGCUGGGUUUAGACCGGCGUGAGCCAGGUCGGUCCCUAUCUACUGUGGGUGCAGGAGACUUGCGGGGAGCUGUCCCUAGUACGAGAGGAUCGGGAUGGACGGACCUCUGGUGUACCUGUUGUCUCGUCAGAGGCACCGCAGGGUAGCUAUGUCCGGAAGGGAUAAGCGCUGAAAGCAUAUAAGUGCGAAGCCCCCCCCAAAACGAGGUCUCCCUGAAGGCACCUCGAAGACGACGAGGUUGAUAGGCCGGAGGUGUAAGCACGGCAACGUGUUCAGCCGACCGGUACUAAUCUGCCGUUCGGCUUGACCGU
rnacentral:rRNA from 1 species